GUUGGCCCCUGUUUCUCCCUCCCUCUUUCAGAUGUAAGAUCCUUUCAUCUUGCAUGUGGAAUUGCGUUUUCUAUAAACUCCAGAUUCUAUCCAACUUCGAAUUUUCUGGGUUAUUCUUUCUAACUUAAUUUUUAAAAUUAAUUUUUUGCUGUGAUUACUUCUGUGUUCUGUUGGUGAUGGAAAUUUAAUUCAAUUUACAGCAGUGGCAAAUGGCUUCAGAACCCAAUAUCUAUCAUUUUGAUGAAGUUGCAAAGCACAAGGAUAUAUACGAUUGCUGGCUUAUAAUCCAUGGGAAGGUG
rnacentral:misc_RNA from 1 species